GAUGAACGCUGGCGGCGUGCCUAACACAUGCAAGUCGAGCGAGAACCUUUGGAGUGCGAUUUCGGUCAAGUGAAGAAGGGGAAAGCGGCGGACGGGUGAGUAACGCGUGGGCAACCUGCCCCAUACUGAGGGAUAGCCUCGGGAAACCGGGAUUAAGACCUCAUAAAGCCAAAGUUCCACAUGGGAUUCUGGUCAAAGAUUUAUCGGUAUGGGAUGGGCCUGCGUCUGAUUAGCUGGUUGGUGGGGUAACGGCCUACCAAGGCGACGAUCAGUAGCCGACCUGAGAGGGUAAUCGGCCACAUUGGAACUGAGACACGGUCCAAACUCCUACGGGAGGCAGCAGUGGGGAAUAUUGCACAAUGGGCGGAAGCCUGAUGCAGCAACGCCGCGUGAGCGAAGAAGGCCUUUGGGUCGUAAAGCUCUGUCCAAGGGGAAGAUAAUGACGGUACCCUUGGAGGAAGCCCCGGCUAACUACGUGCCCGCAGCCGCGGUAAUCACGAGAGUA
rnacentral:rRNA from 1 species